UGGGGAUUAGCCAAGCGGUAAGGCAACGGACUUUGACUCCGUCAUGCCAAGGUUCGAAUCCUAGAUCCCCAG
rnacentral:tRNA from 1 species